rnacentral:tRNA from 1 species
AGGGGCGUAGCCAAGCGGUAAGGCAGCGGGCUUUGAUCCCGCCAUGCCCAGGUUCGAAUCCUGGCGCCCCUGCCA